AAAAACUUUUUUAACUCUAAAUUUUAUAAAGCGUGAAUCCUUGAAAUUUACAAAAGCCUGACAAAAAAUUUAGCUUUUUUUUUCCCUCAAAAAUUUUUUGAAGAUUCCAAGGAAGAGUUAGCUGGUGGCUGGUGGGUCGUGGGCUACCGAGUCCAGUUAUUUACUUGGGUAAAAUGUGUGCCUGUAGCUGCAUCAUCUGCGACUCCGACUCCGACUGAGGAAGCGCGCGGAAUACAACUGACCCUUUAACGAUCCGAAAGGACGAGGAUUCAGAAGCUAACCCAGAUCUCCAAGAUCUCCUCUUGGUACCCUAGAGAUCCCUGAUAAACCACCGAUUUUGACGCAAUGGCCAAACUUGAACAGCUAGACGAUGAACCGAAGCAGCUCAAUAUCAACAUCAAAAAGAAGAAAAGAAAUCAUGGGUCAACCACUUUCUUCGUUUUUGUGGAUUAUUUAUUCCUCUUUAUCUUCCUUGGAUUCCUCUGCUUCAUUCUCUUCAAGAUGGUUGGAAUCUAAUUUCAUCCCUAUCAGUCUCUUUCUUAAAUUCCUUUUUACCAGGAUAUGUUUCUUAUUAGACAUUCAGAUAUCUAGUAGGAUGUUCCAAGUUCCUACUCUAGAGGAUUUGCAGUUGUUGUCUUUGUUUUCUUGACAAUAUCUGUCUUCAUGGUGAGAAUUUAUGUCUUUGUUAGAUUCUUGACAAUCUCUGUAUUCUCUUUUAGCAGAUAUACUUUUUACAUGUAUGCCUCCACAUGUAGAACCUUAUUUGCGAUUUGGGAUCUUGUGUUACUGUUGAUAUUCUAUUUCAUCUUUGGUUUACAAAAAUAAACUAAACGUUAUAAGUAAAA